GCCGGAGUGGUCGACUGGGAUCAUACCCUGGCUUUAUGGCGGCCAACCGGGCCGGAUAAUCUCCGGCCCGCGGCU
rnacentral:tRNA from 1 species